CUGUGGGUUGAACUGCCUGGCCCCAGGCUGAGCACCCCCACUGCGAAAAGGGCUCCUGGAGACACACGGGUGGAAAUAUGUCUGUCUGGGCUAACGAAUGUUUCCUGGUGACUACUGGUUACGCCACGUAAACGCCGUGCAGCAGCCGAGCAGGGUCUGCCAGUGCCAUUCCCCCUUGGAUCCAGCAGCCAAAAGUUGUAUAGAGCACACCAGGCCCCCCUUUCACACCAAUAUAAUGAUAAUAAUUCACAUUUCUUUAAUGCGCUGAUUAAAAAUGAUCGCUCCCUACAUGAAAUUGAUAAAAUGCCUCUUAAAGAAAAUAAUCUGGCGUUAACCACAAGCCAAGAGGCAUCAGCCAGGGUUGGGGGUCACCCCUGGCCCCUGCUGGGCUCUUGGCCACGGGACACACCUUCAACAUGCCCCUCGGUGACCGGCCGAGCCGCCCGCCUGCCUUCCUGGGUACGUACAGCUCGAAACACCAUCAGAAAUGAUUAAUUACUGCAUGUCAUAACAACUAGCGCAGAUCUCCCUGCAAUUUCUCAUCUUUCUGUUUCUUGGGCACAAAAAAUCCGUGUGCUCCGGCACUCGGACGAGGGUUCCCGCAGGUCGGGGCUGGUGCUGCCCGGUUGCUCACAGUCCUGGCGUCCAGGGGGUGCAAUCCUGCACCCCUCGGUGACAG